CCUCCCCCGCCCGCGUGGUCUCCGCCACCGCAGCCGCCCGAGAGGAGCUGGGGGAGGACGGUGGCCCGCGAGGCUCGUCGUAGACAACGCGGCGGCGAUGUCCGCGAGCCAGGAGAGUGCUGCGGCGGCAGCGGCGGGGCCUCGCGCGCGGCAAGGCGGCCUGGGCUUCGGCCUCCCUCCGGUUUCUAGGAAGCCGGCCGGCGGCCAGCGCGGGAGCAGCGGCAGCAGAGGCGGAGGCUCCGGCGCGUCGCUCUCCUCCCCGUCAGCCUGAGCCGGGGGAGGCCAGGCGGCCCGGGUGGCUGUAGGGGGUCCGCUGCCCGAGAAUGGGAAUUCUCUUCACCAGGAUAUGGAGACUGUUCAAUCACCAGGAGCACAAAGUUAUCAUUGUUGGGCUGGAUAAUGCAGGGAAAACCACCAUCCUUUACCAAUUUUCUAUGAAUGAAGUUGUGCAUACAUCCCCUACAAUAGGAAGUAAUGUAGAAGAGAUAGUGAUUAAUAAUACACGUUUCCUAAUGUGGGAUAUUGGAGGCCAAGAAUCUCUUCGUUCUUCCUGGAAUACCUAUUAUACUAACACAGAGUUUGUAAUAGUUGUUGUGGACAGUACAGACAGAGAAAGGAUUUCUGUAACUAGAGAAGAACUCUAUAAAAUGUUAGCCCAUGAGGACCUAAGGAAAGCUGGAUUGCUGAUUUUUGCUAAUAAACAAGAUGUUAAAGAAUGCAUGACUGUAGCAGAAAUCUCCCAGUUUUUGAAACUGACUUCCAUAAAAGAUCACCAGUGGCAUAUCCAGGCAUGCUGUGCUCUUACUGGCGAGGGAUUAUGCCAAGGACUUGAAUGGAUGAUGUCACGACUUAAGAUUAGAUGAUCUCUACUGAUCUCUUCUCAUAGACUUUGUAUAAACGAAGUGCUGGACUUUACCUGAAAGCUGCAAAAAUGACUGGUUCAGAUAUAUUUAUAAUAAACUGAUUUAAACUUUUUCUAUAAGAAGAAAAAUUGAGACCACUUAUUUGAAAACAAAGAUGAAGUCUCAUCUUCCCAUCUGCUUUCUUGUUACUUUCCUCCAAAGGAUUAGUUUCUUCCACAGGUCUUAAAGCUGUGAUCGACAUUUUUCUCAUAAUGAAUCCUCUCAGGACGUUGUAUAGCUGUGCAAAGAUCUUCCAGUUGCUGUCGAAACAACAGAUUUUCACUUUGUAGCUGAGAACACAUCUCCUCUAGGGAUUCCAGCUUUCCAUUGUAUGUGUUCACUUUUUCUCCUUCACUUUGAUACAUGUGUUCAAUUUCCUUUUUUUGACACUGUGCUUGGCUUAGGUCUCUGUGAACACGUUCUAAAACCGAAGUUGUUUCUCUAAGAGCAACUCUUGUGUGAUGGCACUCAGUUUCUAGACAAUUGAAUUUACUUUCAGCUUUAGAGAGUUGUUGAGAAAGAAUCAAAUUGUUAUGUUUUAGGUUAGACAUAUCAAAAUUGAUUUUGUCCCAAAAACAAACCAUUCAUCUCUUGCUCCCUGUCAAGCAAGCUGUAGGUCUCUGUUGGAUUUCUGCCUUUGCUCAAGAUUAUGGAUAGCAGUAAGCAGUCUGGAAAUGUAGGAUUCAACUUCUGUUUCCAGUCUUUCUUCUUUUGUUUUACAUUCUCCUGUUCAGAGGUUAGCAUUUUAUUCUCAGCUGUCUUAUGUUGAGAUACUGUUUUUGUUAGUGUUUCCUCAUUCAGUUUUAUUAUCUUUUGAAGACGGUCAUUCUUUUAUUUUAAAAUGGCAAUGUCCUCAAAAUACUUGCUUUCCAUUUCCUGAUUCUCAUUUUUGACUGUGCUUAGUUCCAGUCUUAGUAUGGCGAUUUCAUGCAACAGAUCUUUUUCUUUUUUAUGACUCAGAAACCUCAGAAUUCAUUUUAUUAAGAUCUUUUUCUUUCUCCCUUUGGUUGCAAAGAUCAUUGGUCAGAAUUGUAUCUUGUAAUAUUCUGUCAUUGUGUUCUCGAGAACAUGGCCUCUGAGUGUCAUUUUGUUCUAGUGUGACGUGAGGGUGGUUAUGUUCACUUCCAUCAAGCCUCACUUGCUCUUUCUCUGAUGUCAUGCCUAAGUGUAGUUCUGCUUCUCCAGUAAGAAUGUAUUUUCAUCUUCGAUCUGCAGUGUCAGAGAAAUGAUCAACAUACUUCUGUGGACGUCUUGCAGAGAAACUCUCAGAAUCCCCAGGUGAUUUUGCAUCAUCUUCUCCUAAUCCUAAUGCUGACAUUUUAACUUUUUUCUUUCCAAUUGCCGGCUUUGUUGCUUUUUCCUUGGCAUCAACAUUGAAGCCUUUAUUCUCUGAUGUAGACCGUGAACCAUCCAUGCCAGGUUUGCAGGAAAGACGCUUCAUCCUGUCUCUGUCAUUCAAGCUCUCUGAAUAGAGCUCGAGAAGUCUCUCUCUGCACUUGUGGUCCGUUCCCCGUGCAGGCGGCUUUGUGGAUCUUUCUGAGAUCUUUCUCUCGAAUGUAGUAGUUGUCUCCAGUCUCAGGCAUCCUUCCAACACCAUGGCUCUGCCAGCUGUUUAAGGAGUCCAAGGGCAACACACGCAUCUGACCCCCAAAGUGAAAAACGUUCCUAAGGGCUCCGGAACCUCCUCAGCACUCCCCAGGCUUUUCAGUCUCCUGAGCCCAAACCACAGUGGACUCUAGAGCAGCCAGCUGCCUCUCCCAGAAUAUCCCAGCAGGGCAGUUAGGCAGUUUGGAAUCUCUCAGCCCAGAAUGGCUGUCACCAAGCAACGGUGCACGGGUCAGAGGCUGAUGUCAUUGUGCAUGCGCACAGAAGCCCCGUGGCCAAGGGCACCCAGAGGUCACGUGCAAGGCCCAGGCGUCCCCCAUCUCAGAGGGUGCUUGCGGGCAGCGCUGGGUUCCUUUUGCCUCGUGAUUUCACCCAUUUAUUCAGUCGAGAAUGGCCAGAAAAGAUGUACCUUUCUCAUACUUUUUUCAAAUCACUCUAAGGAAUUAUUUGUUACAUAUUAAAAACUCCCUUAAAAACUCAGAUCUGUUUUGUAGAUAGUGUGGUUUCAUGAGAGACAAAUAGUCUGUCCAGUAGCCCAGCAAAUCCACACCUUUCAUCCUUUUUAUUUUUUGAGUAAUCACAGUGUAGUCUCUUGGAUUGCUGCCACAUCCGUUCGACAAUAUACCAGCACAUACCCUUGUCAUGGUGUGGGCUAACGUUUAUUCUCAACUGGAUGAUUAAAGCAUUCACUACAUUGUUGCGGUUGGUUAAGUGUAGUAUAUUAUUGACAUGGCAUCAUGCGAAUGCAUAAACUCUUAUACUACAUUUGCAAAAUAUUUUUUUGUUAUGUUUUACCCUUCCAGGCUAACCAUUAGAAAUAACAUGUUAUCUAUAUACUUGUGCAUAAAAGCAAAAUUACAGUGGGGAAACAUUUUUAAUUAAUGCAUGAAAAUGCAUUGAAAUAAUUUUAACAGUAUUCUAAAUAAGAUGGAGAGGCAGAUGAAUAGUCAUAUUGGCAAUUUAUAUGUAGUUUAAGUGGAAUUAUGCAAAAGGCAAUGCUUUUGGUUUUCAAAUAUGCUACUUUUGGAUAUAAAUAAAGAUCUUAUUCAGGGUCAUUGUGCUCAGCUUUAAAAAGAGCAAAGCUUCAUACCUCUGUCCAUGUGGCUGGAUUUAAAUAUCCUGUGUUUGACACUAAUUUUGAAAGUCACAUGACUUCUCUUGAUGUCUCGGUAAAAGUCACCAUAUGCUAUAAGCAUUUAAAUAUGUUUAAUUUUGUCCUAAUAGCAUUUAUAAGCAUAUCUUACACAUUAUAUUGAGGAUUCUUGUUUGAAAUUUUCAGCUCUAUCAUCUUUGGCUCUCAUGAUGGGCAAAGAAUAGAUUGAAGGGAGGUAGUUUGGAGAAGGGGUAAUUGGGUAGGGAAAAAUGACAUUUUGCCUUAAGAAAAAAAAAGUGCUUCAGCACUGCUUACUGGCAUUUUUAAUGCAGGUAGUUAGAGUGAGUUUAGAAGUGUGGCAUGGAUAGAAGUUUUCUGGCCUUUAAGUAAAGUGCCUGGUAGAAAGUUACACUGAGAUCACAGAGAAAUGCAGGGUGCUUGAGGAAAGUCAGGAUGUCCCUGCGAUACUCUUUUCUUUUUUGUCUGAGUGUAUAGUAUUAAGAUGCCUAGAAGUGGGAUCCUAAUGCACCCUCUCUUACAGGCGCUUAACAUUUCUUGCUGUGACUACAGCAACCACAUACAGUACAGACAACCUCAAAAUCUGUUUAUAUUAGUGUAAAUAGAAAAACGAUAGACAAUUUUCUAGCUUUCUCUGCAGGCAUUUUGGGGAAUAUAUCUUUAGUGUGUCCUACUUUGUAUAUAGCGGAUAGCAGCACAUCCCAGAUUAUCUAUGGACUUUGGGGUCAUCUUCUUUCAAUCGCCCAGUUGUAUCUUGGCAUCACUAUGUCUUUCAGGGCUGGGUAGAGACAAGGUUUCUUUGCAUGACUUAACUUUGAUCCCUCCUACUGUCCAAACAUAAUCUGAAACUUCUUGCUUCAGGAUCAGCUUUCCCAUAGCUCAGCCAGCCUUUGCUCUCCUGUAUCUUCAUUCACCAUCAGUGAAGAUAUGUUAUCUCGGUCCUAGAGGUAUUCUAAACUUUGCCUAUAUCCGUUGUACCCCAAACAGUUAGUUUCUAGAACAUUUUCUAGUUCUUUGCCACCCUCCCACGACUGGCUUGAUUCAUUGACUUUGCUCAUUAGAGAGUAUUGUCAGAGUUGUUGAGUUCAUCAAAACACUGGCUUGCUGUUAUACGGCAUAUAAUGCCAUAGUAAAGUCUUUUAAAUUAUACUCUAUUUAACAUUUGAAUGCUUCUUAAUUUUAGCUUCACAUGCAGGAAAGUAGAUUCAGAAAGAUAAGAGAACUACCUAGACUCUGCCAGGUCCUUGAGCUAAUAAGUUAGAUGUGGAAAGGACUCAAUUAUGUGAGUAUUACCUUUCCAUUACCAAAAAUGGGUUACAUUUUGUAAAAUACCAAUACAAAUAAUUCCAGUUGGGAAAAGAUGUCAAACCAGAUUUAUAUGUAGUCUUUAACCUGAAGACAUCUUUACAUCCUUAAAACCAUAGACCACGUUCCAUUUUUUUCCUCAUGUUUACCUAAAGACAAAAGAUACUAGAUACCUAAAGGAAUUAGUAAUGAGAAGCAUAUCUUUACAAAAUAAACCUGUUAAAAUGGACUUUAAAAGAUAUUAAAAUCAUCAACUGUUAAUGUGUUUACUGUGCAGAUGCAGACAUAGCACAGUAAGUACUUCUUUCAAGGUCCACUUACACAAAAAUAAAACUUGGAUACCGUUCUCCCUCAAAGAAUUGAUGACAAUUUGAAGACCAUAAUGGUGGAGUAAAAGAAAGAAAGACAGAAUUUAAAAACUGUGGAUGCUAAAAAGAGUAAUUGCUUCUACUCUAAAAUUGUGUGUGGAAUUGUAAAGAAAUUGUACCAGGAUACAGUUGGGUUAAUUAUGCAAUAUUUUUUAUCAAUUGUCCAGCUCCUUAUAUUCUAAAAACUAAAGCUUAAGUCUUCAUGGUCUUGCCUGCUAGAUAGAUCUUUGGUAGAAAACUCCUAUAGUCUGUACUCAAGAAGUGCCUAAAAUUGAUCUGUAUUGAUUUUUAAGUCCUCUAAUAAAUUAUAUGUGUUUUCUAUGGUAUUGUAUGUGCUUGGCUUACUGAUGGGACAGUGCUGAGGGUUUCUGAGUCACUAUUUGUGCUUAAUUUGAGUAAAAAGCUUUGAAAUUGAAAAUACCCAUCAUAACCCUCAACAAACCAUGGUUUAAAGAACAUGAGUGAAACCAUUUUUAUUCCUUCCUAAUACAAGUAUUCCGUGACCCUGAUGUUAGUUAAUGCAGAGACUAGAAAACUGAAUUCUCUUUCUUUUUUUAAAAAGUUUUAACAGAAAAUUAUAUUGUGUUUUGUAAGACCCUAGUGAAAGUUCGUUGCUUAUGUAAGAGUAGCCUCUUAAUUCUCCUCAUAGUGAUUUGUAAUGUUGAGUCAUACAUAGCAUUUAGUUCUUGAGCCAUUUCAUGUGUGUGCAUGCCAAAAUCCUUCCUCUUUGUUUAAAUUCUAUGUAGUAACCAAAAUAUUUGAUAGAAUCCUAUUAUGUUUCUCAUAUAUUCUUACCCUUUCUUUCUUUCAUUCUGUCUUUUUUUUCCUAUCCCCUCCCUUCCUCCCUUCCUCUUUCCCUGCCUUCCUUCCUUCCCACAGAGUGUGACUGGAAACUCCAGGGGCAAAGACUUGACUGUAUUUUCAGUGAUUUACAAUUACAUUGUGUUCAUGUUUUAAAUCAUUCUGCAUGGAAAAUGUAUUUUGUGUAUAUGAUUUUCAAGUAUUGUAAUGUAUACUCCUUUCUUCCCCAAAACUGCUUACAUUGAUGAUAUACGUACAGAAUUCCUCUAAUAAUUUUUGCUUGACACUAGUCCUUUAGAUUCAAAUAGUCUUUUCUUACAUAUGUCCCUGUAUGGUUCCUUGAGAGGAGGUGAUAACCUGCAGAGCACUUUUAAAGAUAUUUUCUGGGUUAAUGUUCAAGAUAACACGUUGAAGAGGAAGCUAUAUAACUAUGUCUAAUGAGGGUUCUUCUGGUUACUAGAGAUGAGAAAAAUGUAUACUGAUUUUAACUUGUGCUGAAAAUACAUUUUACUAAUGGUAUUGAUUUUAAAUGUGACAGAUUCUUCUUGUAAGUACUCAUCUUCCUUGCUUAUUGUAUGUUCCUAGAGAAACCUACAUGAAAAUGUGUUCCAACUGGUAUCUUUGUAUAACUCCUCCUCCCCAGUUGAGCUCUGUGUACACUGACAUAACUGAAACUGCGUUUAAUACAGCAAACUAGAAAACCCUUUGAAAAUUUUUAGGUUUGUUGUAUUGGAAUUUCUAAUAUGCUAAAAGGUUUUGACUCAAGCUUUAUAUGUAAGAAGAGGUAGAAAAUUUGUCUUAUCUCUAUCAUUUUAUGAACUUUCUGUUUCUCUAUCCUAGGAGAAUUUUACACUCAAGGAAUAUUCCAAAAAGCCAUGAUCUUAGAGCACUUGGGUGCUUUUGUAUUUCAUAAGUGCUGAUGUGUUACGUGCUCAGGGAGAUCAUGCUUCAGUACCUUCUUGAUAAGACAACUUCCUGGAUGGCGGGGGGGAUAUUUACGUUUGUGCUCAGGUUGGGAGGGAAUGGCCAAUUGGAGCAGGGACCUCUCCAUUGAUAAAGCAGUACAAUCCGCUGCUUUACAGGUGUGUUAACUUCAUUCUACUUGUAACAACAUUCUUGUCUCUGUGACUUAUCAAAUGGCAAGCUACAGAGCUGUAAGGCAUUGGUCCAGGUGACCGAUAGUAGGACCUUGUUUAUAAUAAAGUAAAGAAUAAUGUUAAGAUAUGUUUUGGGGGAAAUGAGAAAUAAGGUUUUACUGGUGACAUUCUAUGUUUAAUAUGUACACUUACUUUUUUUAAAAGUUGCAUGUUAAUCUGGGAUAAAGUAUUGUCUCUGCUUUAUGCUUUACUGAGUAAAAAGAAAAAGAAAAAGACAAGUUAAAUUGUUACUCUAUUAUGUACUAUUACACGCAUACCUUUUCUUUUCGAAAGGGCUAAUUAUAAUUACUAUUCACACGUC